CCACACCAGAUACCUUCACUGUCGCCCUCGCACAUCAAGCCCGCACCCUCGCCGUCUCAGUCACCGCCGCCCUCACCCUCGCAGUCGCUGCCGAUCCCCUUCCCCCAUCAUCCUCCCUCAAGCGCUCGCCGCAACGACCGUGAGUGUGGCUGCUCCUCGCCCAUUCUCUGGCAACCGUCCCCUCCCCGCUGCCUCCGCCGACGCUGGAUAGAACGAGGUGGGUUCAACCAGUAGAGCCCUGGGCGAGAUCGCGUGCGAGUGGACGGAGUAGGCGCUGGUGGUCCUGGUGAACCAUGGGCGGAGUCAGAGCAGAGAGUUGGGGUGUAGGAGAUGAGGAGAAUGGGGUAGGCUUCAUGAUGGAAGGAGAUACGACGGCAAAGAAUGUGGAGGUCGGGUGUUACAUGGAGGCGCAUGUGCAAGUACAGGCCCGGCCCUGAGGGGGGGCGAACGGGGCGGCCGCCCCGGGCCCCCAGGUGCCAAGGGGCCCCCAAUUCUUCUCUGAUUUCCUGCCCAGAACGCCGAGGUGCACCUGCAACCUUUUCCCUGAUUUCCUGCCUUCCUUUCUUCGUGCUUCUAGUAUACGAUUGAUGGUCCUUCCAAUUAAUUAAUAGAGCAGUUAUUGGAUGCGGUUAAUUAGGCACGGUUAUGGAAACAAUCCGCUCUUAGUUUCCUUACUUAAUCUUUCCGUGAAAAACACCUUCCUUAAUUCAGAAGCCGAAAGUUGUGCGCCCAAUUUUUUGUGAGAAAAACAGGACUGGUGGGAAGCGACAAUGAUACGGACGGCGAGAAUAGAUCAAGAUCGCGAAGCUUGAUAUCCAUCUACUACUAUGCAUGCAUGGUGCCGCCUCGGCUCGGAGCAGUUAAGUUUCAUCCGUAACUUGUCCAUAAGUGUAGCAUUUUUGCAGUCGCUGCCUCGGACGAGACCACACUGACUCGGUGGGAGGCUAGAUCAAUACUGUUAGGAUACGAUGACAGUUACAGAAAAGAAGGUAUGUCUCUAAUCUCUAUUUUUAUAGGUAGUCUGUAUGUAUGGCCUAGGAAAUUUUAUCAUGAUAGUUGAUUAGAAGUAUGAAUGAUCAUCGACAUGCCCUCUGCGUUGUUGCAAUUGGAAACUAACAAUUGAUUUAUCAGUAUUGUUAACGGAUAGAUAUCAUUCGGGUUAUUAUUUUUUUAUAUGGAGGAUUAAACUAAUCCAUAUAGGGGCUAUACAUAAUACAAUCUGACAUCUAAAUGGAUGAUAACGUGAGUGAUCAUUGGCAUUUAAAUUAUUCAUUAUUCUAGACGAGGUGCCAGUUUUUUCUACAGCUGAUUAGGAUGAAAGAAAUUAUAGGAUAAACAUAACAAUAAAGCUACCAGAUAUAUUGCUAACGAAGAGACUUAAACAGGAACAUAUUGUAUAAAUAGUAAAAAAGAAAGAGAAACAUACUGUAUUUUCUUUGACUAGCGAUUCAAAAUAUUUUUGGAAAUACAUACUUUUGUUUAUAUUAAGGGCCCCUAGGUUUAGUUUUGCCCCGGCCCCCCAAAAUGUCAGGACCGGCCCUGUGCAAGUAGUCCAUUUAACACCAGUUUAGAAGAAAAAACUAUAUUCAUCCAGGUGAUGCCAUUCAUUUGCUAAGUGCUUCUGAAUUUUUGUUGUUCUAAUGCAUUUGCUUCUGAAUUAUGACAUGUGGAUUUGUUUUUUAAUCUGUUUAUGUGCAAGGUCAUGUAAGGAGAGCAAGGAUCCUUGGGAGAUGCUACUCUAAUUUUUUGCCAUUUAGAUGACACUAUUGAUCACAAUCUUGUUAUGGCUGAAACAAUUGCCUUGCAUCAUAAUUUUUUUGAGUUAAUUAACAGGGAUAUAAUGCCGAAUACUUGGAGCACACUUUGUUAUUAGUACAAUGCAGAUUGAUUGUGCAAUUUGUGAGUAAGAGCACAUUUAGAUGGAAGUGGUGGUAACAGAAUAGGAGUACUAAAUAUGUUAUGUGUGUUUUGUACAAAACUAUUUCCCUUCUGUUCCAUGUUUUGGUCAUAUGCAAUCAUCCACCACAUCAGUAUCGCUAGCUGCACGAUUUGAUCUAUUUUCAUGAUGCUCAAUUGGAAUCUCUCUGCAUUUUGUCGAAAAACGGCUGUGUAAGCUUUUGAUUAACCUGUAAUAGUUAGCUUGUCUUGUAUCUAUUUGAUCAGUUUUUCCAAAAAGUACGAACACACACAUUGUAUAAAUUUUACAUGGAUUUACAUGAUGGGCAAGUAGCCUUGGUCUCCUGCCUCUUCCAUUUUCAUAUGGUAUAUAUAGUUCUAAAUUCAGUUUAACAUGAAUCUUGAUAAUACUUUGUUGAAGUCGAAGUAGGAAUUAGGGCCAGGUAGAAUUAAAUUGCAACUAUUAGCGUAAUUAGCAUUGAUACCUCUGUCAGAGGUAUUCUAAGGAUUUGGCAUCAAGCACUAAUUAUGAAGAUUCAGUUUUCAUUGUGCCCACUUGACGUUGUCAGCGAUAUCCUUUAUGCCUUACAAUCCAUGUUGUUGUAUUCUUUCUUACCACAUCCAUUGUGUUGUUUUGUUAUGCUAAAUUAACCACAGGAUCGGGAGUAUGCUAUCAGCAAGAUCCUUUAUGCCUUAUAAUUCAGGUUGUUGUAUUCUUUCCUACCACGUCCAUUGUGUUCUUCUGUUAUGCUAAAUUAACCACUAGAUCAGGGGGACAGCCACCCAGUAACUCUUCCUUAUCUUCCCUCUCCUCUCUUAAACUUUCUAUGGUUCUUGGUUUGAUUCUCAAAGAGCUCGAACUCGUCUUGAGUUUUUGAUUAUGACCUUCCCUAUUUUGUUGCUACAUAUUACUGUACUAAUGUCUUGUGUAGCAAAUAUUUACUAAGAUGGGAUAAUAGGUAUACUAGUUUUCUAAUUCACGACUUCAUGUGAUUUCUUCCUGGUCUAUGUCAAGUCAAGUUAUUUUUGUUCUGAAUAAUUUACUAACACAGUGCAGGUUCAUGUGCAUAGCAAGUGUUAAAAAAGUCUCAAUUAUCUGCAUGGUAUAUCUAUUCAUUAUCUUUUCCAGAAUGAAGUGAGGUAUGGUCCGGAUCAAUGAACUCGAGAGGCGGCAGUGGAUCCCUAGGUUUUUCGGUUUCUGAAAGAGAAAUUUGUUUUGGCUUUUUUCUACACGCAUACCGUCAAUAAUGGAGAAUCAUGUGCAGGAAGUGAGAUUUGAGAAGCACUAGGGUGCGACAGUGGAGGAAGUAAAAUAUAUGUCGGAGACGGCCAUGAUGGCAUGAAUAUGAACCGUCCGGUUCUGAGGGGCAUCGAGAACAUCAUCAGAGCCCCUCAACAGCACCUGGUUCUGAGCAAGAGGGGGCUGGUCAGCAUGUUUGUGACAUGUUCUUCCAUGUGCAUAUUUUCACAUGACUCAUGCGCGGAGCUAGCGGGUCUGAGGAUUGAGCUCGUGCCCAAGCAGUAGAGCGAGGGAUACUUAUGAAACAUAUAUGUUGUGCCAAUGCAUCGUUAGGUGAACAUCUUUCUAUUUCACAGCAAGUGCAGAUGGUUAUACAUUUGAAACAUCAACUGGCCUGUUAAGAAUGUGAGAGGCCCUUGGGAGAAAAAACAUAUCAUUUGAGAUAGAUCUUGGAUUGAACAACCGAGUAUGGGUAUGCUUCCGUGGAAAGGCAGCUAGAGACAAAAAGGGAACCAGUGAAAAAGAAACUCGCACAUCUAAAGGUCUCUUGGAAUCUCACAUUUAUCAAUUUAUGGAAGGGGCAUCCAUUCAUUAUAAUAAUUUUUUAAGAGAACGGCGUGGGGCUGAUGCAGCCAAUGUGAACGACCACCGGAUAGCAAUAAACAAAAGGAAGAACAACACAUGUACAACAAACAACAAGGUUAGCCAAGAAACAAUUAGGCUCUUGGGGUCUAUCGACCAAAAGCAUGAUCUUGGGGUGCCCGGCUUCUGUCCAAAGUGAGAUCUCAUCCAACAUCAGAUUGAAGACACUAAAAAUGGUGGAACUUGAGUUGCAGAAAAUUCUGGCAUUUUACUCCUUCCGCGUGAACCAUCGUAUGGCCCGCACUAGGCAGUUCCAGCCCUUCUUCAGGGCAGCAGGUUUGGCAACGGAACUUUCCACCCAGUCUGAGAGGCAGGUGGUGUCACUGGAGGGGGCUAAAGUAGCCGGGAGAUUGCAGGUAGCAGCAUGAGCCGCCAAAGAGCCUGAACAAAUGGGCAUUGAGUUAGCAAGUGAAUGGUGUCUUCAUCCGCCAAGUGACACAUGUGGCAAACUGGAUCAUGGGAGCAGCCCCUUUUCCGCACAUUGUCCCUGGUAUAUGCUUGCUUGGCCUUCUACUGACCUUUUAGUUAUGUUAUGUGCUAGAAAUAGUUGUAGUAGAUUCAAGAUUUGAAAGCUCAUUUUUAUUAGCUUGUUGUGUUUGUCAACUAUUUCCAUAUUUAGAAAUAUCAUAAUUGGUUUGCUUGUCAAACAUGCUUAUUGAGAGAUGUAAUGCUUUCAAACAUUAACCUGCUACAAUUACGACAUCAAGCU